AACGAACGCUGGCGGCAGGCCUAACACAUGCAAGUCGAGCGCCCCGCAAGGGGAGCGGCGGACGGGUGAGUAACGCGUGGGAACGUGCCCUUUGCUACGGAAUAGCCCCGGGAAACUGGGAGUAAUACCGUAUAAGCCCUACGGGGGAAAGAUUUAUCGGCAAAGGAUCGGCCCGCGUUGGAUUAGGUAGUUGGUGGGGUAAUGGCCUACCAAGCCGACGAUCCAUGGCUGGUUUGAGAGGAUGAUCAGCCACACUGGGACUGAGACACGGCCCAGACUCCUACGGGAGGCAGCAGUGGGGAAUCUUAGACAAUGGGCGCAAGCCUGAUCUAGCCAUGCCGCGUGAGCGAUGAAGGCCCUAGGGUUGUAAAGCUCUUUCGUGGGGGGAGAUAAUGACUGUACCCCAAGAAGAAGCCCCGGCUAACUCCGUGCCAGCCGCCGCGGUAAGAC
rnacentral:rRNA from 1 species